GGUUGACCUCGGAUCAGGUAGGGAUACCCGCUGAACUUAAGCAUAUCAAUAAGCGGAGGAAAAGAAACCAACAGGGAUUGCCUCAGUAACGGCGAGUGAAGCGGCAACAGCUCAAAUUUGAAAUCUGGCCCUUGCAGGGUCCGAGUUGUAAUUUGUAGAGGAUGCUUCGGGUUCGGCUCCGGUCUAAGUUCCUUGGAACAGGACGUCACAGAGGGUGAGAAUCCCGUACGUGACCGGCCGCCACGCCCGUGUGAAGCUCCUUCGACGAGUCGAGUUGUUUGGGAAUGCAGCUCAAAAUGGGUGGUAAAUUUCAUCUAAAGCUAAAUACUGGCCAGAGACCGAUAGCGCACAAGUAGAGUGAUCGAAAGAUGAAAAGCACUUUGGAAAGAGAGUUAAAAAGUACGUGAAAUUGUUGAAAGGGAAGCGCUUGCAACCAGACUUGCCCGCGGGUGAUCAGCCGGUAUUCUUACCGGUGCACUCGCCCGCGGUCAGGCCAGCAUCGGUUCGGGCGGUUGGACAAAGGCCUCCGGAAUGUAGCUCCUCUCGGGGAGUGUUAUAGCCGGGGGUGCAAUGCAGCCAGCCCGGACCGAGGACCGCGCUUCGGCUAGGAUGC
rnacentral:sRNA from 1 species